AAUAAGCGGAGGAAAAGAAACUACCAAGGAUUCCCCUAGUAACUGCGAGUGAAGCGGGAAGAGCUCAAAUUUAAAAUCUAGCGGCCUUCUGGACGUCCGAGUUGUAGUCUGGAGAAGUGUUAUCCGCGUCGGACCGUGUACAAGUCUCCUGGAACGGAGCGUCAUAGAGGGUGAGAAUCCCGUCCAUGACACGGACGCCCGAUGCUAUGUGAGGCACUCUCGAAGAGUCGAGUUGUUUGGGAAUGCAGCUCAAAACGGGUGGUAAAUUCCAUCUAAAGCUAAAUAUUGGCGAGAGACCGAUAGCGAACAAGUACCGUGAGGGAAAGAUGAAAAGCACUUUGGAAAGAGAGUUAAACAGUACGUGAAAUUGUUGAAAGGGAAACGCUUGAAGUCAGUCGCGUCCCGUGGAACUCAGCCUGGUUUCGACCUGGUGUACUUUCCAUGUGGACGGGUCAACAUCAAUUUCGGCCGGUGGACAAGGGCGAGGGGAAUGUAGCGUUGCUUCGGCGACGUGUUAUAGCCCCCCGUCGCAUACACUGGCUGGGAUUGAGGACCGCAGCACGCCCUUGUGGCCGGGGGUUCGCCCCACGUAACGUGCUUAGGAUGUUGGCAUAAGGGGUUUAAAAAG
rnacentral:rRNA from 1 species